GUAAAGCUCUUUCGACUGGGACGAUAACGUCGGUGCCGGCAGAACCGGCCCCGGCUAAUUCCGUGCCACCAGCCGCGGGCAUACUACGGGGGCUAGAGCUGUUCGGUAAUACUGGUUGUAAAGUUCUCGGAGAUUACUGGCCAUAUCGGGUGUGAAAGCCCGGGGCUCAACUCGGGGGGUGCACCCCAGACUCUACUUCUGAAAUUGCCUUGAAUCUGGUGGAAUUACGUGUGUGGAAUUGAAAUUGUAUUACUU
rnacentral:rRNA from 1 species